GAGGUGACAUUCUGUGGAGGGAUCCUAAGGGACCAGGCAUCCAGUCUGCAGCCCCAGGACUUAUCACAUCUGGGACUCAGGAAACCUCCUUUCCAGGCGUGGCAGUCAGAGUAUCUCAAGAUGAAGGAAAAAGCUUUUUCCCUUGAAUGCUGGCUGUUGUUUCAUCUACUACUUUUAGGAAAUGCUGUAACUUCUACUGCCAACACUACAACCACCUCCCUUGGAUCGACCACACUAUCCAGCGGAACUGACACAACCACUACCAUCUCCAGUGUCACCAGCUCAAGUACUGCUCCACCAAGGGAAGAGGAAAACCCUAGCGGACACCUGAGGCCGGGGGAGGUCGUCCUGGUUACUCUGGCCUCGCUUGCAAUGGCUGUGAUUCUCCUCACUGGGCUUCUCUUCUAUUUCAGAAACUCCCCAAGCCUAAGAAACCUCUUCAACGUUGAUCUCUUGCCGCCCCCACUGCUAUGCCCUCACGGCUGUUAUGAAGUCCCAGAAGGGUCCAGAGCAACUGUAACUGACUUCAGAGGAGAGCUGUCUUCUCCUGCAGCCAGAGAGCUGACUGGGAGACAAGCAUGGCCCUGAGUGUCCCUGAAGGGAGAAGCACCACAGUCCUCGGGGGCAGAGAGGCUGCUGACCUGGAUCGAGAGGUUAAGUGCCCCCCCGUUCCUGCUCCUCCCAACUUUUCUUCAGCCUCCUUCCCAGCUUGAUUCUCCCAACAAAAGGAGGCUGUAGCUGUCACUGAAUUAUUGAAUAAAUGCAUCUAAUAUAUGUGGAACCAGA